rnacentral:rRNA from 1 species
GUCCUAGCCCUAAACGAUGAAUACUUGGUGUGGCGGGUAUCGAUCCCUGCCGUGCCGAAGCUAACGCAUUAAGUAUUCCGCCUGGGGAGUACGGUAGCAAGGCUGAAACUCAAAGGAAUUGACGGGGCCGCACAAGCGGUGGAGCAUGUGGUUCAAUUCGACGCAACGCGAAGAACCUUACCUGGGCUCGAAAUGCAGAUGACAAUCGAUGAAAGUCGACUCCCGCAAGGGCAACUGUAUAGGUGCUGCAUGGCUGUCGU